GCUGCUAUAAUACAAGCGCUUGUUCUGUGUGUGACAGCUAACUUGCUUAUUUUUCGCCCUUGGCUAGUAUACGCGCAGCUGGUUUAUGUUAUAGACAACGUAAACGUCACAUCGGAAGAUCAAUGCCAUUUCAAUGGAACGUACUAUCCUAACGGCAAUUUCAGUACGUGGUUUCCCACCUGCUAUAUGGCCUUGUGUAAUACAACAGCUACAGAGCUAACGCUUGUCGUGUGUGAUGCAAAGUCAAACUCUCCUUGUAGUAUGCCGGCAGUUCCGAAGGAUGGAUAUCCUGCAUGCUGCCCCGAUCCCAUUUGUUGAAGAGAGACAGCGAGCAUUAUUAUUGAUUACAAGCAACGGUGGGCAAACAGCCAAAAUUAAAAUGUUGGUGUGAAGUUAGUAUCA
rnacentral:lncRNA from 1 species